GAUGAACGCUGGCGGCGUGCCUAAUACCUGCAAGUCGAGCGAACAGACGAGGAGCUUGCUCCUCUUACGUUAGCGGCGGACGGGUGAGUAACACGUGGAUAACCUACCUAUAAGACUGGGAUAACUUCGGGAAACCGGAGCUAAUACCGGAUAAUAUGUUGAAUCGCAUGGUUCAACAGUGAAAUACGGUCUUGCUGUCACUUGUAGAUGGAUCCGCGCCGCAUUAGCUAGUUGGUAAGGUAACGGCUUACCAAGGCAACGAUGCGUAGCCGACCUGAGAGGGUGAUCGGCCACACUGGAACUGAGACACGGUCCAGACUCCUACGGGAGGCAGCAGUAGGGAAUCUUCCGCAAUGGGCGAAAGCCUGACGGAGCAACGCCGCGUGAGUGAAGAAGGUCUUCGGAUCGUAAAACUCUGUUAUUAGGGAAGAACAAAUGUGUAAGUAACUAUGCACGUCUUGACGGUACCUAAUCAGAAAGCCACGGCUAACUACGUG
rnacentral:rRNA from 1 species